GGGCCGGUCCUCCAGCUUUCACUCGCAAAACUUGUACUCCGUUUCCAGAUUUCAAUGGAAUCUUGUGCUUUUUGAGCCGUUUGAUCUGUACUACCUCGGCGAUCUAUCGAGAGCAAAAGAAACUGAGUGCUUGCUUCUCCGGAUUUUACUCGCAGAAUUUGUACUAUCUUUCCAGAAUUUACUGAAAUUAUGUACUUGCUCAGCCGAUCGAUCUCCUUCCUUCGGCGAUCGAUCUCCUUCCUUCGGCGAUCGAUCAAGAACGAAAGAGACGAAUGUUUGGUUGUCCGGAAUUUACUCGCUGAAAUUGUACUGUAUUUCCGGAUUUUGCUGAAAUCUCGUACUUGCUCAGCCGAUUGGUCUCCUUAUUUUACUCAAGAAUCUGUACUAUCUCAUGCUCAAAGCACUGUUUUUGCGGCUGUUGCCGUCAUUAAAGAAGAGCCGAGAUAUCUUAUUGCUUCAUUCAUUCCUGGGCUGGUUAGGGCUACAACAAAGAAGACAAGUGACCAAAGGUCUCUUUAAUUCAGUAUGGCUAUGAGCUUUCAAGAUGCAUUGGCAUCUACCUGCGAAUACUUUGUCGAAGUUUUGGGUGUGUGCCUUCAAAAGAUUGGAACUGAACCUGGAGCAGUGUACCACUUGAGGAGUUCAAAUGACACGCUUGUAAACGUCGAAGAAGCAGUGUCGCGAAGUACACAACUUCAUUUACAUUGUUGACGUGCCUUUCAUAAAGAAAUAUUCAGUCCUAUUUGAGCUUGGUUAGCAGUUUCAGUGGGAAAAAUGUGCGGACUUUGAAGCUUGGUUGAAUUCAAUUGUGAUUGCAAGGUCAAAGUCUUACAGUGCGUUUUUUGAACCCAGAGGGUUCAAGCAAAAUUUUGAGUUUUGAAUUUGUAAUGGUCCUAAUUGUAUUGCGUUCUUACAUGGAAAUCAGGAAGCAAAAAAAAAGAAAAAAAGAAGUUCCAUUUCAUGUGGCUAUGUUUGGAUCAAGGUUUUUCAUUUCCUUUUGCUCUGUCAAGUACCUUUAGUGUUUGAAUAUUUGCAGCCCCUUUGGACUGAGUGAUUUUAAGAGGAAUGAAAGGGUUAUGGUUUCUCGCCAAAUCUCAUCAUUUUUUGUAGAAACAAAAUAGACCUUGCAUUUGCAUUUACUCACAUUUCUCACAUGUUUAUCUAAACAAAUGGUGAGAUUCUACUUGCUAUUAGUUUCCUUUCUCACCAAAUCCCUCAAUCCAAAGGGGCUUUUAGGAAAUGAAGUUGCAAUUCUACGUUCUUGCAGUAGUAUUUCGUUUGAAAAACAGCUCUAAAUCUAACUUGAGUAUCAUCUUCCUCUCUUCUCUUGAUGCUUUUACGAGUCCUUAUGUUACUACAUGUGAAUUUACAAAUUGGAUGGUUCCCAUGAAUUUUAUGGUGCGACUUGACAUCCAUAUCAUGUGCUUUCAUGUUCUCCUGAAUUUGAUGUAGGAAUUUUUUGCAGUGAGAUUUCUGUACGUGCUGGUGUUGCAACUAUUGUGUACUGGUUAUGGCUUCAAAGAGGAUUCAGAAGGAACUGAAGGACCUGCAGAAGGAUUCUCCUGCUUCUUGCAGCGCUGGUUUGUUCUGUUGUUAUGAACCAGUACUUGUGCAUGCAUAAUUUUUCCCUAUUUAAUAUGUUCCAGAAAAUGCAUUUUUUGGUAUGAAUUUAGUGUGAUGUAUGACUAUAUUAAUCUCACUGUACUGGCAUUGGGGAGGUUUCAACAUGGUAAUCCACUGCUUGCUUAUAGUUCUAGCAUCUCUUCUCCAAGCUCCUCCCCCCUUCAUUUUCUUUGAGCAAUUGGUUUAGCAUUAUCGCGUCGUUGGUUUGUUUCGAGGUUUAUGUAUUCGUUUUGGUGGCUAUUAUAUUGUUUGGUUGGGUUCAAACUUAAUUCAUUCGGAUGAGUGUGAUGGGCAAAAUUCACCAUUGGGUUUUGAGUCACAUUGAAUAUUAUUACUCAGAUACAGGCUCUACAGCUGACACUUUCUGUAGUCACGCAAUGUUUUGUCUAUCCAAAAUGCUACUGUAAUGUUUGCAGUGGCAUAACGUCCUUUAAUUCGGUUGAUGUAAGAACGUAGAAGUUCAUUCGUUUACCCCACAUUUUAAUGGUUGACCGAAACACAUCCCUUAUAUACUUCAAACAAUGUUGUUUUCAUGAAUGAUCUUAAUUGAUUAUGUUUUUGCAGCAAGAUCAGGGGUUACUGCGUUGGUGUCUAUUUGGAGUGUAACUAUGUGAGUGCUUCAUUUGGUUGUUUUUAUGAAAUGGUUUUGCAGUAGGAUCGUGGGUUACACUGUUAGCUUCUAUCUGGAGUGUUAACUAUGUGAGAGUGCUUCAUUUGGUUGUUUUCUUCAUAUAACCUCGUUGCAUGCAUGUGGUUGAGCUGAACUCCAAUCUGAUCUCUUACCUUUCUGAAUUUCCAAUAACUUUCAGUCCCUUCUCUCUUAGAGACAUUUUCAUUUGAUCCUCGCUCUCCCUAAUCACAUUUCUAGGAAAAACGGGUCGGGAUUUAAAAGAAUUGGGUAAUUUACUUAUACCUACUUUUCCGUUUGGUUUUUGAUUCUCUGGGUGCACACAUCCGUGCAGAAUGUUAUAUUUACUGCUGUGUUGGAGUUUGUGAGUUGGUAUGUAGUAACUUUGGUGUGUUCUUGGGUGGAAUCACUUAAUUGAACCAAGGUGGCUUAGUUUGGAUUCAAGGAAUCCCCCCUUAAAGAUUGGUAAUCUGGCUACUACCAAACUUAGCAUAAGAGGAAUGUUUUCGCUUUUUUUAGUGAAAGUUGUGUAUAUGGGAAAUUUGGAAUUAAUAUUUUUAUUUUGUCCUCUAAUUCUCUUUGACCUUUUACCAUCUCAUCAGAAAAAUAUACAGUCAUGGUGUUAAGGAAAAGGUUUAAAUUUGUACAGGUCCUGUUGGUGAAGGCAUGUUUCAUUGGCAAUGAACAAUUAUGGGCCCUGCAGACAACCCAUUUACUGGUGGCGUGUUUCUUGUUACGAUCCACUUCCCUCCAGAUUAUCCUUUUAAGCCGUCGAAGGUUUCUUUCAAAACAAAAGUGUACCACCCUAACAUUAACAUCAAUGGUAGCAUUUGCCUUGACAUUCUUAAGGAGCAGUGGAGCCCAUUUCUUAUCGUAUCCAAGGUAAUGUGCUUAUUGUUUGUGCUCUAUAAGAGUAUGUGGUAUAUUUGGGAUUAUUUGUCCUUUUGUACUAUUGUGAAUGAGUAAUACCCACUCAACUUAGAAAUCUCUCACCACUACUUUAUGCUGUGUCCUUGUUUUUCAGGUGCUGCUAUCGCUGCUUACGUAACCGAAACCUGAUGAUCCAUUAGUGCCUGAGAUUGCCCAUACGUACAAGACUGACAGAGCUAAAUACGAAAUGACGGCUGAUGAUCCUUUUGUGCCUGAGAUUGAACUCACAUAUGACUAUGUCGUCAUAGAAAUAUUCUUCCUCAUUCUCUGAGUUUGUUAAAUCUUGAAGGCAAGCUUUUGUGAUCACGUGAUAAGGACCAAUUUCUGCGUCCUCAGUACUGGUUUUCUGAUUCAAAUAGACAAGACAAUUGAGCUGUUUCGUAUGAAUGCUACCU